rnacentral:rRNA from 1 species
UGGGGAAUAUUGGACAAUGGGGGCAACCCUGAUCCAGCAAUGCCGCGUGUGUGAAGAAGGUCUUCGGAUUGUAAAGCACUUUCGACGGGGACGAUGAUGACGGUACCCGUAGAAGAAGCCCCGGCUAACUUCGUGCCAGCAGCCGCGGUAAUACGAAGGGGGCUAGCGUUGCUCGGAAUGACUGGGCGUAAAGGGCGUGUAGGCGGUUUACACAGUCAGAUGUGAAAUCCCCGGGCUUAACCUGGGAGCUGCAUUUGAUACGUGUAGACUAGAGUGUGAGAGAGGGUUGUGGAAUUCCCAGUGUAGAGGUGAAAUUCGUAGAUAUUGGGAAGAACACCGGUGGCGAAGGCGGCAACCUGGCUCAUGACUGACGCUGAGGCGCGAAAGCGUGGGGAGCAAACAGGAUUAGAUACCCUGGUAGUCCACGCUGUAAACGAUGUGUGCUAGAUGUUGGGUAACUUUGUUAUUCAGUGUCGCAGUUAACGCGUUAAGCACACCGCCUGGGGAGUACGGCCGCAAGGUU